GGAAAAAUACGUGUGCACAAACUAAGAUUAAGCCAGGCACAGUGUAGUGUGCCUGUAGUCCCAGCUACACAGGAGGCUGAGGCGGAAAUCCCUUGAGCUCAGGAGUUUGAAACCAGCCUGGGCAGCAUAACAAAACCUCAUCUUUGAGAGAGAGAUUAAGAGCCCUAGCAACUAAGUUCCUUGUUCCUUGAGAAAACAGAUUGUUCCUUGAGAAAAUAGAUUAUGCCUUGUUCUUUUUUGUGGGCCAGCACUUAACAUAGUAUCUGUUCCAUAAUAGGCUCUAAGUAAAUGUUUGUUGAAUUAACAAAUAAAUAAGCUUUAAGAAAAAUCUUGGUAACUCUGAGGGCUUUGUUAUACUUGUUAAUGUAAAGAAAUAUUCUGUCUUCAAAGGCAGCAAGAAAAUAGAAGAAAAGGAAUAGUGGUGUAGCGUUAGAAUUUGGAGUUGGCUUGAAAAAAGAGAGUUUAUUUGGAAGUUCCAUGGGAAGCAGUGGAAAUCCAGUAUGCUGAUGUCACCUGAAACAACAAACUUCUAUCUGUUCAUCUUGGCAAAAACAAAUCAACACCUGACUGACAGAGCAGAAGCACCAUCAUCUUGGAUAAACACCACCACUUUAAGUCCAGCUCCCUUUCUAACCUCAUGCAUUUUGAGGAAAUCACUUCCCUUCUAACAACAAGCAGCCAGAAAGAGCAGACAGUAUAAAACACUGAUAAGACAGCUCGGGCACAGAGGAAGUGGAGAAAGUCUCUUGGGUAACCACAAAACUUCACAGUCUACAAUGGACCCCAGUAAAACAGUGGGUCCUAAUAAAUACAUUCCUUUCCCUUUAGGUGCACCAAGAUAUGGAAGCUAAAAGCAGACUUGGGGGGCGGGGGGUAGGAGGGGCUGUGCCUGCAGCUGCAGGAAGAUGUAUGGAUAAAACACAAAAAUUCUCCCUCCCAGAUAAGCAAGACAAAGAGAUACAGAAGCAGUCCAAGCCUGUGAUAAGCUCUCCCACCCUGAACCCUUAAAAACUCUUAGUCUGUAAGAGAGAAGGCUCUCUGACCUAACUUGGCCAGAAGCCCCUCCCAGGUUUAUUCUCCUAAAUAAACCCAUCUUUGACUGUUGAGUGCUUUUUGGGUUUCUUUCCUCUUUCUUUAACUCUUAAACUGACCUACUUACCCCUCCUGCAAAAUAAGGUAAGAACAAUACACAAGUAAGUCAGGAAAUUAAUUUAAGCUCUUUCUGCAAGCACUGGACUAGCAUGCCACAAUGUCCAAACCCUAAACAUGGUCAGAAGCAUCAGCUGGUGUACCGCAAUAAAAGUAUCUGUGCACUUCUGGGGCCUGCAGCAAGCUUAAAAU
rnacentral:lncRNA from 10 species